AGUCGAGCGAGGUACAAUACCUAGCGGCAGACGGGUGCGUAACAUGUGCCGAAUCUGCCUUUUGGUUCGGAACAACACGGGGAAACCUGUGCUAAUACCGGAUAAGUCCUUACGGAGAAAGUUUUAAUGCCAAAAGAUGAGCCCGCAUUUGAUUAGCUAGUUGGUGAGGUAAAAGCUCACCAAGGCGAUAAUCAAUAGCUGAUUUGAGAGGAUGAUCAGCCACACUGGGACUGAGAUACGGCCCAGACUCCUACGGGAGGCAGCAGUGGGGAAUCUUGCACAAUGGGCGAAAGCCUGAUGCAGCGAUGCCGCGUGAGUGAAGAAGGCCUUUGGGUUGUAAAGCUCUUUUGUCGGGAAAGAUAAUGACUGUACCCGAAGAAUAAGGUCCGGCUAACUUCGUGCCAGCAGCCGCAGUAAUACGAAGGGACCUAGCGUAGUUCGGAAUUACUGGGCGUAAAGAGUAUGUAGGCGGCUAGAUAAGUUAAUUGUGAAAGCCCAAAGCUUAACUUUGGAAUUGCAAUUAAAACUAUUUAGCUGGAGUAUGAUAGAGGAAAGCGGAAUACAUAGUGUAGAGGUGAAAUUCGUAGAUAUUAUGUAGAACACCAGUUGCGAAGGCGGCUUUCUGGAUCAUUACUGACGCUGAGAUACGAAAGUAUGGGUAGCGAAGAGGAUUAGAUACCCUCGUAGUCCAUACCAUAAACGAUGAUUAUUAGAUGUGGGGAAUUAUUUCUCUGUAUCAUAGCUAACGCGUUUAAUAAUCCGCCUGGGGAGUACGACCGCNAGGGUUAAACUCAAAUGAAUUGACGGGGACCCGCACAAGCGGUG
rnacentral:rRNA from 1 species